ensembl:lncRNA
GGAAGCCUGAGUACGGCAGCAGAAGACAGGCCAAGCUUUGGCUAAAAUUCACGGCUGGACACCAGAGUUGUCCUCACCCCUCCCGGUAAAACAAAAAAGAGAGAAUGUAGUUUGAGGCGGGUUUUUCUCGCUGACCUGCUCUGGGUGCUGUGUCCCUGAAUCUCACCAGUGUUAACCUCUGGCGGAAGACAUGGAGAAAAGGAAAAGAUGUUCCUGGUAAAUCACUGAAACAAAUAAAACCACACACAACCAGAGAAAGAUAUGAGAAGUGUGUGGAACAGACACAUGUGCGUGUUAGAGAAAUGCCUCGUUUGAGAAAAAGUUAAAGUAGCGACACUUAACAUACACCUGUUUUUAAAUGAUAUAGUUCAUACAUUACUGACAAUUAAACGCUUUGGGUUGCAGGACAACAACGUAACGUCAAAAGACAAAGACACUGGUCUGAGGAUUAAGUGAGGACACGACAAAUUUAGUGGUUAAAAGGGUCGACUUGGGACAUGUUUUUGUUGAUUGUUUAAGACAAAUGACUACUGAAUGAUAGGAAAUUCCUUUUUAGGUUUCUAAACAGGAUCUUAAGAAUUUUAACACGUACCUGUGUUGUCCUGUCAACUUGAGGGGUUAUGAGUUGAUUAUAUGGAGAAAAAAAAAAAAAAAAAAAAAAACAAAAACAAAAAAGGGGGGAGACGAGAUCUCGUUGUUUCUCCCCUCUCGGGAUAACACAGCCAACACAGCACAGCCAACACAACAUCAUUUUCCUGUUCGCCUGUUUUGUUUUGUUUUUGUUUUUUCUGAGAGCCGAAGCUGACCUGGACUCCUACCCUCCCCUCUACCAUCGUUGCCCUCUCCGCGACCAUCUUUGACCCUUUGACCCCUGAAGGCCACAGCAGCUGGACUCACAACAACAACUUGAGGAUGUCAACAGUGCUGCAAAAGAGUGAUCUCAUGCAGCAGAGACGGAGAGCACUAAACCUAAAGCCCGUUUCACUACACGGGGGAAAUUCCCAGGCUGCGUCAGCUGACAGAGCUGUGACGAGACGCGCAUUAAGCCCGGAGGAAAAGGGACGGUGAGCAGAAGGAUGCUGACCUCUGAGAAGAGCCGAACAGCAGAGCUGCAGAAGGCCGUGGAGCAAAGUAAGGAAGAUGCAGGCAGCUGCAACAACGGAUGAAAACAGACCCAAAGAGGAGGGGAGGACCC